UGUACUCGUGCAGUGCGGCGGU
rnacentral:misc_RNA from 1 species